rnacentral:rRNA from 1 species
CAUGCAAGUCGAGGGGUAUGCCGAUUUAUCGGCAGAGACCGGCGCACGGGUGCGUAACGCGUAUGCAAUCUACCUUUUACAGAGGGAUAGCCCAGAGAAAUUUGGAUUAAUACCUCAUAGUAUUUUCGAAUCGCAUGAUUUGAUUAUUAAAGUUCCAACGGUAAAGAUGAGUAUGCGUCCCAUUAGCUAGAUGGUAAGGUAACGGCUUACCAUGGCUACGAUGGGUAGGGGUCCUGAGAGGGAGAUCCCCCCACACUGGUACUGAGACACGGACCAGACUCCUACGGGAGGCAGCAGUGAGGAAUAUUGGACAAUGGGCGCAAGCCUGAUCCAGCCAUGCCGCGUGCAGGAAGAAGGUCCUAUGGAUUGUAAACUGCUUUUAUACAGGAAGAAACACCUCUACGUGUAGAGACUUGACGGUACUGUAUGAAUAAGGACCGGCUAACUCCGUG